GUAGUUUGAUCCUGGCUCAGGAUGAACGCUGGCGGCGUGCCUAACACAUGCAAGUCGAACGGAUCUGUAUUGAAACCUAGUGAUAUACAGGUUAGUGGCGGACGGGUGAGUAACGCGUGGAUAACCUGCCGUAUACCGGGGGAUAACACUUAGAAAUAGGUGCUAAUACCGCAUGAGCGCACAGCUCCGCAUGGAGCGGUGUGAAAAACUCCGGUGGUAUACGAUGGAUCCGCGUCUGAUUAGCCAGUUGGCGGGGUAACGGCCCACCAAAGCGACGAUCAGUAGCCGGCCUGAGAGGGUGAACGGCCACAUUGGGACUGAGACACGGCCCAGACUCCUACGGGAGGCAGCAGUGGGGAAUAUUGCACAAUGGGGGAAACCCUGAUGCAGCGACGCCGCGUGAGUGAAGAAGUAUCUCGGUAUGUAAAGCUCUAUCAGCAGGAAAGAUAAUGACGGUACCUGACUAAGAAGCCCCGGCUAACUACGUA
rnacentral:rRNA from 1 species